rnacentral:rRNA from 1 species
CCCGAAAUUAACAGAUCAAUAAGAGAAUAUUUUAUAACGUCGUAUAGUUUUUUUUAAUUCUCUUAUAGGAAUGAAAAAUUUUCAAUGUUAAUGAUAACUGGAUAUUAUAUAAAAGUAUUUAGUACUUAAAACAACUUCAAAGUGUUUAGGUUUUGAAGGAGAAGAAUUUUUUAUUUUUUUUAAAUUUUAUGAAAUAAUUUUUUCACUCUUUUUCAAACUUACUAUUUUUUAAUAUUUGUAUCUUCCUUUUCAUGUAAUACUUCAUUUUAUAAUUCUUAUUAUGAAUUUUUUAUGAAAAAAUUAGUAAUUCAUUAAAAUUAUUAUACAGGAAUUCAGCAAACUUUUAUUUCAACUGUUUAUCAAAAACAUAGUUUAAUGUUAAUAAUGAUAUUAAAUUAAUCCUGCCCAGUGAUUUAUUUAACGGCCGCAGUACCUUGACUGUGCUAAGGUAGCAUAAUCAAUUGGCUUUUAAUUAAGGUCUGGAAUGAACGGAUAUAUGAAAAUAAUACUGUCUUUAUAAUAUUUUUGUAAACUUAUUUAUCAGGUGAAAAUACCUGUAUUCAAACAAAAGACGAGAAGACCCUUAGAGUUUUUAUAAUACCUUUUUUUUGUUUUUUGUUGGGGCGACAAGUAAUCAUUCAAACAUUACGUAUAAAAUUUUGAUUCGAGUUUUUUAAAGAAAAUUAAACUACCUUAGGGAUAACAGCUUUAUAUAUUUAUAUGUUUGUGACCUCGAUGUUGGACUAGGAACUAUAUGGCUAGCAGUCAAAAUAGAUUUGUUCUGUUCGAACAAUUAUAUCCUACAUGAUCUGAGUUCAGACCGGCGUAAGCCAGGUCAGUUUCUAUCUUUUUAUUUUUUUAUAUAGUACGAAAGGACCUAUAAA